CCCAUGCCUCGCCCGGUGCCUGCGCUCGGAAAGAUUUGUGCCUCGGCGGGCGCCGUUGUCACGUGACCCGAUCCGGAAGCGCGGGGCUCUUCCGUGCUGGCGGCGAUGGCUCCGGACCGCUGGCUCUUGCUGUACGAUGCCACUUGCCAGGUCGCCCAGGAGGUCGCUGAGAAAAUCCAGGAGCGGAACCGCUACCAGAGGAACGGGGAAAGCUCGGCCAAGCUCAAUGUGAUUAUCAGGUCAUCGCUGCAGAAUCUCCAAGAGAAGAUUGAUCAGCUGAAGGACUUACUGCUUCGGGCCGUAUCAACACACCAAAUCACACAGCUGGAAGGGGACAGGAGGCAGAAUUUGGUGGAUGAUCUUCUCACACGACAGAAACAACUUCAGGCAUCUUACAAGAAUGAAGGCACAGAACCAGAUGUGAUAAGAUCGAGCCUAAUGACGGGAGGGGUCAAACGAGGUGUCACUAACCCAUGGCUCUUGGAAGAAUCUGAGGAAACCAGAGGGCUUGGCUGUGACGAUCUCAGGCAGCAGCAGCGAAGGAUCAUAGAAGAGCAAGAUGCUGGACUCGAUGCCCUUUCUUCAAUCAUAUCUCGGCAAAAGCAAAUGGGGCAGGAAAUUGGGAAUGAGCUGGAUGAGCAGAAUGAGAUCAUCGACGACCUCACUAACCUGGUGGAAAACACAGAUGACAAGCUUCGCACCCAGACGCGGCACGUGAAGAUGGUGGACAAGAAAUCAACGUCCUGUGGAAAUGCUCACAUUUUUCAGCCAAGAAAUCCUAGUAACAGGCAAACAGAGGUCCAGCAGUCAGGUCUGGAGAAACAACGAAAUGAAGACAUGUCUAAAAUUGGAGGGAAGAUGAGAGGAGGCUGAAGAGGCCGGGCUGGAAGCACGGCAUUCCCCAUUUACAAGAGAAGAAUCGCCCAUCGGCUCUUCAGGCCGUGGUUUGAUGGGCAGAGCAAUGCCUGUGUUUGAAGUCCACACUGAAGGAAUGCUGGUGGUGAUUGUGUUGCUGCUGAUUGCCAUUGCUGUGGUUGCUGUCUGGCCAACACACUAAUGCGGGUGUGGGGCCCGCUGGAGCUGCUGCUCCGCAGCUGAGCGCGGAGGACUCUGGAGAAGAGACCAACUUUGUGCAAAGACCUGUGAUUUAAAUAAACUCAACGGUAUUGGAACGAGGCUGUGUCCGGCAGACAUCCGCUUGGUGCACAGCUGAAGAGCGCUGCGUGAUUUGGAGGGGCUCUCUUCCCACCUUCAUUUGGCAUUGGGGAGGCUGCAGCUGGCUCCACAAGGGCUGCACUUCUCGGUGCAUCUGCGGCUGAGCACACGCUGGUGUCAGGGUGCUGCUGCCCGGUCCGUGGCUGUGGCUGCUGCUGCUGAGUGGCUUUAAGAUACUAAAAUGCAGGGGUGGGUUGGGGGUACAGCAGCUCCUCCACUUUCUCAUACUUUCCCUAGAGAUGAAACCACAUUUUUCAAGGAAUAGGUGUUUUGGGGAUUGGCUGCAUCUGGAUUCUCGCAGGAUGGGAAGGCUCGCGGAGAGGCACGAGACCCCCACAAGAUACGCAGAAACUCUGGUGAAUGAGUCAGCCCUUGGGGGAGAGUUCUUGCUGUUGAUCUCCAUGGACAGAUGUGAACAGCAGCAGGUUUCCAGCCAGGUGGGUCCAAAUGGAGAGCCUUGCCCUGUACGUGCUCAUGAGGACAGCGUGCUCUCCACAUGCUCUGCCAUGCUCUGCACACAGGAUGUGCUGCAUUAAUGUACUAACCUCAGCAAGCGAGGGCUGCCUCUUUAUGACUUCACUCUGUUAGACCCUAUUUACAAACUAAUGAAAAAAGAAGGAUUGAAGGUUUGCUUCUGGCCAAGAAAAUCAUUAUUUUGUUACACUGCUCAGUUUGAUUUCAGAAUUGACAGGGCAAGCAAUAAAUACUGAAUAAAAGGUGAUCCGUUUCUAUACAGUU